GCGGGCGUGGCGGAAUGGUAGACGCAUGGGUCUUAAACACCCUGGGGCGCAAGCCUGUGCGGGUUCGAGUCCCGCCGCCCGCACCA
rnacentral:tRNA from 2 species